CUGAGAUGGCUACUGAGUGACUAACAGAUUUUUCCUUUUGCAUUGUGAUGAUGUGUCCUGACAAACAACAGGAUUCCAUUAUUAAAUAGUGAUGCUACCCAAAUCCAGGCUUGUCCUGUGCUUGAUGGCUGCUGCUAUUGCUCCACAGAGAUGCCUCUUCCCAACCAGAAACUGUGUUAACCGACUCUCACACUGACUUCCAAUCCUCACCACAACCUUGCGAGGUCGGUAUUAUGACCACUACUUUACAGGCCCUUCUGGUAUGCACAGCUAACAGUCUAGUGUGCCAAGACUGUGCCAGCCUGGAGAAACUUCGUGGGCUAUCUCAGGCUCCAUCUAGCCUUCGACACUCAGGCUUAUAAGGGUGAAGGAGAAACUGAGGCACAAUAUCAUGAGUUCACAUGGAAAAAUCAUGAGUACACAUGGAAAAAAGGUAGAAUUUUUGACGUGAAUUAUCUCAGUUUAUAUAUACCUUUUAAAACUUUUUCCUAUGUUUUCUCCUAUUUACACACCGUCUGCCCUGUGGGCUGUGGUGCACAUUGACAUGUGUUAUUGCAUUGUCGCUAUCCUAUUUUUCCAGGUAAGGAUGGUGAAACUCGGAAAGGUUAAGUCACUCAGACCCAGCAUGCAGUGUCGUUUCCCUCUGCCCGCUGCCUGUGCUACACAUUCUGGGCGCUGUUGCUGAGCUCCGCUCAAUGGCUUUACGCCUCCCUUUCAGGGAAAAGCAGCUGCACUGAAGUUCUGUAAAUGCUGUAAUAGAAGUUGUUAACCACUUCCACAUGAUUUUUAAAGUAAAUGUCACACUGCAUUGUAACAGUGAGCUAACAACACGUUAGCGGGUUCUCAUUCUCAUUUAAUUCACUUUUCCAAUACGGAAGUUACUGUGAUGCCUGCAAGGACGGCCACGUUCAGUGAAUUACUUGGCAGCUGGGCCAUUUAUUUCUUCACUUCUCCCUUGCUGCCUCCCUCGGUGGUUUUUGAAGUUUAGUUAUUGCUAUGCUUCCUCUCAUGCUGCUAUCCGAGGGAGAAUGGAACUGUUGGUUUCAGCAGCAGUCAGAUCCUCACCAUUCCAGCCUGGCUGCGGAAGCGCCCACUAGUUCCCUUUGUCUGCUGCUCUGCCCAGAGCUGGAAGCAUAGGCUGAGCGGCUGCUGGCUGUCAGCUUGCAGCGUCUGAUAUUGUUAGGAGACGAAUUAUGCCCCUCCUGCCCCCCCACUGCCCUCAAUUUGUAUGUUGAAAUCCUAAUCUCUAGUACCUCAGAAUGUGAUCUUAUUUGGAAACAGGUCCAUUGAAGAGGUAGUUAGUUAAGUGGAGGUCAUAUUGGAGUAGGCUGAGUGAGCCGCUAAUCCAACAUGACUGGUGUCCUUAUAAAAAGGGACAAUGUGGAUGCAGAGACACACACAGGGAGAAUACCAUGUGAAGACUGGAGUUAUUCAGCCACAACUAAGGCAUUUCCAGAAGCCAGGAGAGAGGCUUGGAACAGAUCCUUCCCUAGAGCCUUCAGAGGGUGUGUGGCCCCGCUGACACUGACCUCAGACUUCCAGCCUCCAGAGGUGUGAGAUGAUAAAUUUCUGUUGCUUAAAUGAAAAAAAAAAAAAAAAAAAAA
rnacentral:lncRNA from 1 species